UUGACUUUAUUUUAACUUCUGUGAGCUGCCAGGCCCCGGGCAAUGCCUCUGAGAGCAGGGACAGAUGAGUGAGCCACAGCGGGCAGCGGGAGAGGGGAGCGGCCACACGCACCCACGAAAGGGCUGGGUUUCUGGGGAGGCCCCGCUGUCCAGGGUCUGGAAUGAAUCAGCCCAAGAUGAGUGUCUUAAAGGAACCACACUCACUUUCUGAUUUCUGGGGGUUCGGGGAAGGGCUCAGCUGGAAGCCCUGGGGAGGGCGAUAUGGUUGUAGCCCAGCAGCAGCAGUGGCAGCUGCAGUGGUGGUGGCUGCCCCCGGGGGCGGGGGGCGGUGUCCCAGGGCGAGCUGUCCAGCCGUCGGUACCUGUGCUGGCUCGCAGGCCCUAGCGGUGCUUCCCCACAGCAUGGCAGGUGGUAGGUUCAGGGCUCCAGCCCUCCAGGUGGCCCAGUACCAAGGAGAAGGACAGAGACCACCCCCUUCCCCUCUCCCCCCGUGACUACAUGGGAGGGGUGCCCCAGAACACACAGCCAUAUCUAAAAGCCACCGACCAUGCUGACACCAUGGCGUGCAAAGGUCCUGUGGCCCGACCAGAGCCGGACGGCAGGCAGACACGCUGGCAAUGGCAACCCCAUGGCCCACCUGAGCGCACCACCAUGGACGGGCAGAGCCAGAGGACCCCGUGCCACCCACCAGCACCGUGCCAGCCCCUGGCCCUGGCCAAACAUAUGCCAGCUGCUGGCUGGAAACUCUGAGCCAGGGAAACUGGGCUGCCCACGGCACUGCUGCCUCCUGCCUCCACCAGGAGCAUGUUUAGCUUGUGCUUGCCUGGGAACAAUGGAAAACUAGAGUCUAAUUAGCCCCUGGCUCUGAGGUGGAGAGGACAGCACAAUAUGUGCUUUCUCAUUAAAAGGGAAAAGAAAAAAAAACGGCAUAGGCGCCAAGCUCCUUCUCUCAAAGCCAUGCCUUCUGCUGAAUCAGCUGGAAACAUUAGCCCUGGCGGCCGUGCUGGUCUGCGGGGACGCUGAUGUCCCGCGAUGGAUGAAGGUGGAUGAAGGCAUCUGCGUGCCAUGAGGGCCUCGGGGAAGGCGCCACACAAAAGCUCUGAAUCCUGAAAGCCAGUGGUAAACCCAGGAGCAGAGCAAAGCGGGCGGCGGCCCUUGCCAUCUCUACGCACCACCUCUGCAGGGGCCACUGCCAAGUCGGGUCUGCAAUGCACCCGGGCCCUGGGCACCGGCAUUCACACACACACACACACACACACACACACACACACACACACGGAAACCACACGUGCAGCUCCCUGGAGCCUCAGGAUGCACUGGUGAGGACCGUCUCGGCAGCACCUCUUCCCAUGGGCUCCUCCUCUCAUGCUCACUGGGGACAGGCGUCACGGCCUCUGGGAGCUACGUGUGGUUCCAAGCACCCAGCAUGCAGCUGGCUCAUGGGCUUCUGGCCCCAGCAUAGCAAUGGGCUGUCCCCGUCCCCAGCUCACGGAUGAGGGCUCUGGGCUGAGAUGGAAGUGACCCCAGGACUCUAGGGCAGCCACGUCUUGUCCCACCUGGCCGCCCACCUGGUCACAGGCUGAUUUCUGUCCUUUGUGGCUUACUGAGCACCAGACCGACUCCAGAGCUACAGCAACCAACAUCAGGCUACACUGUGAUCACCUGAUAUCAUCAGACAGGCAAUGACGUGCGUGGUGUCCCCCUGAGGAACCGUCACAGAGCAGGUUGCCAAGGACACAGGGACCAUCGCGGUGAUGCAGGCCGAGUCUCAGCCAGAAGGGGAUUGCAGAGAGGCCACGACGGGCGUGGAACCACCCACACACCCACCACCCAUUUUGUGACUCUGAGAACAGAGGGCUUGACGUCUCACAAAAGAAAUGAAAAUGUUUGCACCAAAAAUACUGCUUAUCAAAGAGAAGCGAAACAACUUCCCCUUGUGGAGAACUUUUCUUAACUUUUUUUCCAGCUCAGUCACUGAGGUUUCAGGAAACCCUGCCCUGCAGCUUCUGGACCUGAGGACCCCACAGACCCUUCCCGGGGCCUGUCAUUUACAUGGGAGGUGACACUUUGCCGGGUAGGCUCUCUUACCCCGUCUGGACCGCAGGGACGAAGGUGGUGGCUCCCAUCUGGAAGUCGCAGGCCUGACCCCCGGGGGACAGCAUUUGG